ensembl:ncRNA F01E11.10 ncRNA
GAAAACAAAAAGAAGAGAAGACGCAGGUGGAGAAACGUUGUAAUUAUAGUUUCAAGCUCUAGAACUUUGAGCACUGACUUCAGUGACCAACUGAGUGUCAUAUUUGACUUCAGUGAUUUUAGAAGUGGAGUGGAGGAAAAG